UAGCUCAGUUGGUAGAGUGCUUGCCUCACAUGCAAAGGCCCUGGGUUCAAUCCCCAG
rnacentral:tRNA from 1 species